rnacentral:tRNA from 1 species
GCGAGGAUGGCGGAACUGGCAGACGCACUAGACUUAGGAUCUAGCGCCUUCGGCGUGGGGGUUCGACUCCCCCUCCUCGUA